GACUAGCCAAGCAACAUCCCGGUGAAGCACUGAGGCUCUCUGUGCUGGAUGAGGGGUGCGAGAGGAUCCCUGCUGUCUGCUGGAGGAGUGGCCAUCACAGAGGUAAGUCAGGAGUACCUUGUAUCUUGAUUAGAAAACACUUUCUGCUCCUUCUUGGCCAGCACUCGACUUCCAUCCAUCUGCCUCCACAUCAGAAAUCCUCCUGACUUCUCAUCCUACUGAAGAGAGAAAAGAUCUUGAUGCCUCUUUUCUUUAUGGAGGCAAUACAGC
rnacentral:lncRNA from 1 species